rnacentral:lncRNA from 1 species
UUCCGAUUUUGGUUCUUGUGAAGGUUGACCUCGAUUCGUUCCAAAUUUACACCCUCGGGGCAUAAUAGAAUAAUAUAAUUAGCUUUUACACUUUGUUCGAUUGAAUGAGAAAAAGUACUCGUUACAAAGUUAUACUGUUAGGGCGCAAGUGAGUAAUCUAUUGUUGUUCCGGUUAUGCUUCUUGUGAAGCUUGACAUCGAUUCGUUCCAAAUUUACACUCUCGAGGCAUAAUAGAACAAUAUAAUUAGCAUUUACUCUUUUUUCGAUUGAAUGAGAAAAAGUACUCGUCGCAAAGUUCUAUUGUUAGGGCGGAACUGAGUAGUCUUUUUUUGUUCCGGUUUUGGUUCUUGUCAAGGUUGACAUCGAUUCGUACCAAAUUUACACUCUCGGGGCGCAAUAGAACAAUAUAAUUAGCUUUUACUCUUUGUUCGAUUGAAUGAGAAAAAGUACUCGUUGCAAAGUUAUACUGUUAGGGCGCAACUGAGCAGUCUAUUACUGUUUCGGUUUUGGUUCUUGUCAAGGUUGACAUCGAUUCGUACCAAAUUUACACUCUCGGGGCGCAAUAGAACAAUAUAAUUAGCUUUUACUCUUUGUUCGAUUGAAUGAGAAAAAGUACUCGUUGCAAAGUUAUACUGUUAGGGCGCAACUGAGUAGUCUAUUAUUGUACCAGAUUUGGUUCUUGUGAAGGUUGACAUCGAUU